rnacentral:rRNA from 1 species
AGGGCACCACCAGGAGUGGAGCCUGCGGCUUAAUUUGACUCAACACGGGAAAACUCACCCGGCCCGGACACUGGAAGGAUUGACAGAUUGGGAGCUCUUUCUUGAUUCAGUGGGUGGUGGUGCAUGGCCGUUCUUAGUUGGUGGAGUGAUUUGUCUGGUUAAUUCCGAUAACGAACGAGACUCUAGCCUACUAAAUAGAUCGUCGGCUUACAAACGCCGGCGAGACUUCUUAGAGGGACAGGCGGUGAUUCAACCGCACGAAACAGAGCAAUAACAGGUCUGUGAUGCCCUUAGAUGUCCGGGGCCGCACGCGCGCUACACUGAAGUGAUCAGCGUGCUUUUUCAACCUACUCUGUCAAGAGUGGGGAACCCAAUGAACCUUCUUCGUGAUUGGGAUAGGGGAUUGUAAUUAUUCCCCUUGAACGAGGAAUUCCCAGUAAGCGCGAGUCAUAAGCUCGCGUUGAUUACGUCCCUGCCCUUUGUACACACCGCCCGUCGCUACUACCGAUUGGAUGUCUU